UGUCAUGACUUUCCCUGUUUUUAUUCUUUUUGGUGUCUUUUUGAGAAAUCAUGUUCGGGUAUUUUCAUUUGGAGCCAAAAUCUUGUUCAGUAGCCUAAUACAAGAAAUAAAAACAACUUUUCUUUCUUGUUCUUUUAAUCUGUGUUUUUAUCAAGCGCUGUCGAACUGAAGGUGAGAAUCUGAAAGAACGGGAUUCAAUGAGGCAAACUGAAGAGGAUCCAGCAAGGGGCCAGUGAUGUCCUUCGUGUAGGCCAACAUCAGUUAUCAGUUCAGGAGGAAUCACUUGGCCCGGCUCGCUAGAUCCACCUUUCCAUGAUCCCCCCGUCAGCAUGGGAUGAUUGUCAUGAAACUCUUCCCAUGAUUUCAAGUGCUGCAUCAGGAGGAUGUUGUGAAAAAACAUGUCAGGAUACCUGAUCACUUCAGAGAACAAAACUGCACAUAGUGCAAUGGCGUCUUGGGGAGUCUGUAUAUAACGGUCGACUUUGGCGAGGUUCCCAUUCAUGUAGGACCAAACUGUCUCACUAAAAUGUUUAUUGAACUCUUUUGAUGUUUUCAGUGUUGCAUAACAAAGUCUUUUGUCUGAAAGAUGCAUGUCUUGCUCAUCUUUUUUGAUUGGACGACAGUACAG